GCCAUAGGAACGAUUGCAAAAUGUAUAGCCAAAUCAUCAUAGCGUAACUGUAGUUAUACAUAAAGGCAUAAAAAUCGGAAUAUUGUUGUUGUUAAGAAGAGAUCGAUCCAUCUUCCACCAUCUGUUGAACGGAAGGUCCAUAAUAGCGUAUUUCCACCAUUCGUUGAAGGGAUGGUCCAUUAGGUUUUGCCGUUCAAAAAACUUCCCAGUUAGUCCGCCGUUAAAAUUUGACGGAUUUUGACAGACUAAUUUAUGCGAUAGUAAGCAGAUGCUCCUGGGGUGCAACCCUCUUUCCACGCAGUCCAUCCCUGAAAAACCGUUGGGAUUUUUGAAAAAAGUGAAACUCCGGUUUCCACAGAUCACAUCCACCUUCAAACGUUACGAUUUCAGCUGAACUUAGCAGCUGUAGCGCAUCAAAACUUAAACAAAGAUGGUUGACCUGUUGACUUUGUUUAUGUGCUCUGUGGAAAUCGGUGUUUCACAUUUGUUGAAAAUUCCAACCGUUUCCAACGGAUGGACUGUUGAAAUGGGGGAAUUAGGGAGAUAUGAGGGCCGGCACAAUAGGUAUGCUUGCUCGCCACAAUUUGCUAUACGCUAAUAAUAUCUUCCUCGCGGUCCAAUUCGUUACUGAUAAGAGCGAGGCAAGGCAAAAACAAUUUUUUUUAAUUCGGACGCUGAUGCACUUUGAUCAGUACAAACAAAUGGUCUUUACGACACCAAGUAAAGCUUGUGACGCGCGGAACCCUUCCCCUCGGGUCGUAUGAACGAGAUCGCAAGUGAAAAAAAAAGAUAUUAAAUGAACGGUCAGACUAAUUCAAAAUAUAAGCCAAACUAUUUACGUGUUAAGUAAGAUAAGAUUAAUGCUUUUAAAAUUGGUAAAGGGUCAGUAGCAGAAAUUAUUAUAAAUUUUACUUCUUUAGUUAUUUAGGCCAGUAAAAUAAAUAUUUCUUGAGAAUCAAAACGCGUGUUUCUUUACUUUCUUCGACAGCUUUUAGGUGAAGUGAUUAUCGUAUUGAUUUGAUACAAUCGAAAUGAUAAAAUCGAUAUGAUAUUUAAAGCGUCCUUUGACUUGCCGGGUAUUUUUGAAUUUGAAACAUUUUUCUUCAACUCUUACAAAAAUAACAAACUGGAAAAUUUUGUGACUAUAUAAAGCAAAGUAAAUGGUGUUUAUCUCAUUCAGAAAAGUCCAAUCUUGCUGCAAAGAAUCCGGAAACGAGUAUUAAGGAUCGGCUUUGUCAUUAUAUCUGCGAGUUGUUUCUCAGGCGGAAUUUGUGGGACCCCAAAUUUUUGCUCAGCAUUUUUUUCCCUGAUGAAGAAAUGCUAGUUGACUAUGUGCUUCAUCCGACGAUGGAAUUUGGUGUUUUGGGAGAGCCUCAUGGCAGCAGUAUUAUUGACCUGAAGAAUCGGGGCACUGUCCAAUCUGUCGAUUUCCUGAAACAAUCUUUUUAGCCAAAUUAUUUAGUUUGCAGCUCGAUUGCAGCUCGAUUAACCACCAUAGCCUGCCAUGGACUUUUCCAUAAAAUGGCUCCUGAGGCAAACAUGAUGAUGAUCCCUGAAGUAGACCACCCAGUCUUCGUGCAAUCACCCAAGCAAGCACCUCUGUAGCAUUCGAGGAUUCCAUUCUUGUGUUUCCGAUAGAAUAUACCAACGUUGAUUGUUCCGGAUAUGUAACGAAAAACAAUCUUUACUUGUUCAAUGUUUUUUUUUGCACACUCAGAAAAUUAUAGAACGAAAAAACCAAGAGCAAAUCUGCUCCAUUUCAGUAGUUUUGCUUUUUUUUUUUAUUUUAUUUAUUGAGAACACAUUUUGCUUAUCGAGAAGAUAAGAUCUCAAAAUCGAGAAUAAAUUAGUCUAAAAGUUAGAAAAAUUGAGAGAGAUAAAAAUUGUGAGAGAACUUCUCUCUCAAAUUUUUCGGGAAGUUACCGGAGUAUACUUCGGGCCCUGUCAAUUCUUUCUUUGAUUUAUUCAGUGUUAAAAUGUUGCAAGAUGCAGACAGCAGACGAUGAACCUGCUGGUGAAGCUAAAUCUAAUAGACGCGCAGUCCUAUUUGAACAGUUAGUAAAUAAUAUUUUAUGAGAUGAAAACUAUAAUAUAUAUUAUUAUUUACAUAUAUGUUAAACAAUAUAUUAUAUUAUAAUUUUAAUUCAACUUAUGCUAGCGUAAUGUGAAACAUAUUAAAUUGUUUUUGAAUAAAAAAGAGCGUGUAUUAAAUGUUUCAACUUUCCUUACAAAAAUUUGGAGAAGAAUAUGCGAAGCGUGGCGCUGCUACAAAAAAUAUAUAUAUUUAGAUUCACUAUACAACACGCGCUAAUACGGGUAUGACAUUACAUUGUUUGCAUCAUUCAUUGACGAAUUCAUUGAAGCUCAGAGACAGAGACAACUAUAUGGAUACUGCUUGAGAUAUUUUUGGUAGUAAGUUCACGGUCACACUGCCUUUUUAACGUUAAAUUCAAACUUUAUCGUUUUGUUUAUUAUUUUGUUUUCUAUCCGUUUAGUCGUCAACUCCAAUCAAUGAGCAAGAUUUUGCUACAAGUUUGGAACUUAUAAGUUAAUGCGCUAGUCACUAAGAGUUGCAAAUAUUUAAUUGUUACAUUAUACUUAAAACUUAUUUUCAUAAAAACUAACCUAAGUCGUUCUAUUGAAAUCGUCAUAGGUUGUCUUGCUCGCACUUACGUAAAAUCGUAUAGUUCAAAAAAAUAAACGAGCAAUGAAUGAGGUGAACAAUUUAGUGUCAUAAGCCCAUAAGUAAAAUCAAAGAUUAAACACGUGUUGUAACAUAGCUUUUUACUGAUUCUUAUAGCCUGAUUCCAUUGGCGCAUUAAAACGCAUUUAGCCUAAUGCGCAUUUGUUUAUAGCCUGAUUCCAUUGGCGCAUUAAAACGCAUUUAGCCUAAUGCGCAUUUAUUUACACAGGGAAUCCCAUAAGGCUAAAUGCCGCAUUUAAAAUAAAUGCGAUUUUUAAAUGCGAUUAAAAACCAUUCGCCCCGAACAUUUUUAAAUAAAAUACCGGAAAAUACCGAUGCUGAACGAUAUUUGGUUCGUGCCACCACUACAACAGCUGUUUUCUAUAUGCAAGGUUGGCGCAAUUUUUGAUGUCUUUUGAAUAUAAAAUCUAUUUUGUAUAAAAAUGACUGAAAUCUACGGCGCAGGCUGCAAUGCAGCGUGGCAGUACCACAAUGCAUUACUGAUGGAUCUCUGGCAUUAAAUAACUCCCACGUAUACGGGGAUCCUAGCCCUUUUUGGAAACUGUGGUGGUCUCCAUUGCAAACCCGUCAUAACAACGCAAUCAGCUUCUCUUCCUUGUCGUCCAAGUUGGCAAAUGCCUUGGUCGCAUUAUAGAUGUCCUGCUGAGCAUUACAGAGUUUAGUAAACUCACUCAUGUUCAUUAAUUUUAAUUAAUUUCUUUUGGAUUUGCCAAAAUGCAUAAGUAAACAAACGCAGAUCAGCUGCUCGUGCCACUCAAAUGUCGGAGUAGCAUUAGCUAAAUGCUAAUGCGCCAAUGGAAUCAGGCACAUUUAAAAAGUCCACUAAUGCGGCAAUGGAAUCAGGCUAUUACACAGGGAAUCCCAUAAGGCUAAAUGCCGCAUUUAAAAUAAAUGCGAUUUUUAAAUGCGAUUAAAAACCAUUCGCCCCGAACAUAUUUAGAAAAAAUACCGGAAAAUACCGAUGUUGAACGAUAUUUUGUUCGUGCCACCACUACAACAGCUGUUUUCUAUAUGCAAGGUUGGCGCAAUUUUUGAUGUCUUUUGAAUAUAAAAUCUAUUUUGUAUAAAAAUGACUGAAAUCUACGGCGCAGGCUGCAAUGCAGCGUGGCAGUACCACAAUGCAUUACUGAUGGAUCUCUGGCAUUAAAUAACUCCCACGUAUACGGGGAUCCUAGCCCUUUUUGGAAACUGUGGUGGUCUCCAUUGCAAACCCGUCAUAACAACGCAAUCAGCUUCUCUUCCUUGUCGUCCAAGUUGGCAAAUGCCUUGGUCGCAUUAUAGAUGUCCUGCUGAGCAUUACAGAGUUUAGUAAACUCACUCAUGUUCAUUAAUUUUAAUUAAUUUCUUUUGGAUUUGCCAAAAUGCAUAAGUAAACAAACGCAGAUCAGCUGCUCGUGCCACUCACAUGUCGGAGUAGCAUUAGCUAAAUGCUAAUGCGCCAAUGGAAUCAGGCACAUUUAAAAAGUCCACUAAUGCGGCAAUGGAAUCAGGCUAUUACACAGGGAAUCCCAUAAGGCUAAAUGCCGCAUUUAAAAUAAAUGCGAUUUUUAAAUGCGAUUAAAAACCAUUCGCCCCGAACAUAUUUAGAAAAAAUACCGGAAAAUACCGAUGUUGAACGAUAUUUUGUUCGUGCCACCACUACAACAGCUGUUUUCUAUAUGCAAGGUUGGCGCAAUUUUCGAUGUCUUUUGAAUAUAAAAUCUAUUUUGUAUAAAAAUGACUGAAAUCUACGGCGCAGGCUGCAAUGCAGCGUGGCAGUACCACAAUGCAUUACUGAUGGAUCUCUGGCAUUAAAUAACUCCCACAUAUACGGGGAUCCUAGCCCUUUUUGGAUACUGUGGUGGUCUCCAUUGCAAACCCGUCAUAACAACGUAAUCAGUUUCUCUUCCUUGUCGUCCAAGUUGGCAAAUGCCUUGGUCGCAUUAUAGAUGUCCUGCUGAGCAUUACAGAGUUUAGUAAACUCACUCAUGUUCAUUAAUUUUGAUUAAUUUCUUUUGGAUUUGCCAAACUGCAAAAGUAAACAAACGCAGAUCAGCUGCUCGUGCCACUCACAUGUCGGAGUAGCAUUAGCUAAAUGCUAAUGCGCCAAUGGAAUCAGGCACAUUUAAAAAGUCCACUAAUGCGGCAAUGGAAUCAGGCUAUUACACAGGGAAUCCCAUAAGGCUAAAUGCCGCAUUUAAAAUAAAUGCGAUUUUUAAAUGCGAUUAAAAACCAUUCGCCCCGAACAUAUUUAGAAAAAAUACCGGAAAAUACCGAUGUUGAACGAUAUUUUGUUCGUGCCACCACUACAACAGCUGUUUUCUAUAUGCAAGGUUGGCGCAAUUUUCGAUGUCUUUUGAAUAUAAAAUCUAUUUUGUAUAAAAAUGACUGAAAUCUACGGCGCAGGCUGCAAUGCAGCGUGGCAGUAUCACAAUGCAUUACUGAUGGAUCUCUGGCAUUAAAUAACUCCCACAUAUACGGGGAUCCUAGCCCUUUUUGGAAACUGUGGUGGUCUCCAUUGCAAACCCGUCAUAACAACGUAAUCAGUUUCUCUUCCUUGUCGUCCAAGUUGGCAAAUGCCUUGGUCGCAUUAUAGAUGUCCUGCUGAGCAUUACAGAGUUUAGUAAACUCACUCAUGUUCAUUAAUUUUGAUUAAUUUCUUUUGGAUUUGCCAAAAUGCAUAAGUAAACAAACGCAGAUCAGCUGCUCGUGCCACUCACAUGUCGGAGUAGCAUUAGCUAAAUGCUAAUGCGCCAAUGGAAUCAGGCACAUUUAAAAAGUCCACUAAUGCGGCAAUGGAAUCAGGCUAUUACACAGGGAAUCCCAUAAGGCUAAAUGCCGCAUUUAAAAUAAAUGCGAUUUUUAAAUGCGAUUAAAAACCAUUCGCCCCGAACAUAUUUAGAAAAAAUACCGGAAAAUACCGAUGUUGAACGAUAUUUUGUUCGUGCCACCACUACAACAGCUGUUUUCUAUAUGCAAGGUUGGCGCAAUUUUUGAUGUCUUUUGAAUAUAAAAUCUAUUUUGUAUAAAAAUGACUGAAAUCUACGGCGCAGGCUGCAAUGCAGCGUGGCAGUACCACAAUGCAUUACUGACGGAUCUCUGGCAUUAAAUAACUCCCACGUAUACGGGGAUCCUAGCCCUUUUUGGAAACUGUGGUGGUCUCCAUUGCAAACCCGUCAUAACAACGCAAUCAGCUUCUCUUCCUUGUCGUCCAAGUUGGCAAAUGCCUUGGUCGCAUUAUAGAUGUCCUGCUGAGCAUUACAGAGUUUAGUAAACUCACUCAUGUUCAUUAAUUUUAAUUAAUUUCUUUUGGAUUUGCCAAAAUGCAUAAGUAAACAAACGCAGAUCAGCUGCUCGUGCCACUCACAUGUCGGAGUAGCAUUAGCUAAAUGCUAAUGCGCCAAUGGAAUCAGGCACAUUUAAAAAGUCCACUAAUGCGGCAAUGGAAUCAGGCUAUUACACAGGGAAUCCCAUAAGGCUAAAUGCCGCAUUUAAAAUAAAUGCGAUUUUUAAAUGCGAUUAAAAACCAUUCGCCCCGAACAUAUUUAGAAAAAAUACCGGAAAAUACCGAUGUUGAACGAUAUUUUGUUCGUGCCACCACUACAACAGCUGUUUUCUAUAUGCAAGGUUGGCGCAAUUUUCGAUGUCUUUUGAAUAUAAAAUCUAUUUUGUAUAAAAAUGACUGAAAUCUACGGCGCAGGCUGCAAUGCAGCGUGGCAGUACCACAAUGCAUUACUGAUGGAUCUCUGGCAUUAAAUAACUCCCACAUAUACGGGGAUCCUAGCCCUUUUUGGAAACUGUGGUGGUCUCCAUUGCAAACCCGUCAUAACAACGUGAUCAGUUUCUCUUCCUUGUCGUCCAAGUUGGCAAAUGCCUUGGUCGCAUUAUAGAUGUCCUGCUGAGCAUUACAGAGUUUAGUAAACUCACUCAUGUUCAUUAAUUUUGAUUAAUUUCUUUUGGAUUUGCCAAACUGCAAAAGUAAACAAACCCAGAUCAGCUGCUCGUGCCACUCACAUGUCGGAGUAGCAUUAGCUAAAUGCUAAUGCGCCAAUGGAAUCAGGCACAUUUAAAAAGUCCUCUAAUGCGGCAAUGGAAUCAGGCUAUUACACAGGGAAUCCCAUAAGGCUAAAUGCCGCAUUUAAAAUAAAUGCGAUUUUUAAAUGCGAUUAAAAACCAUUCGCCCCGAACAUAUUUAGAAAAAAUACCGGAAAAUACCGAUGUUGAACGAUAUUUUGUUCGUGCCACCACUACAACAGCUGUUUUCUAUAUGCAAGGUUGGCGCAAUUUUCGAUGUCUUUUGAAUAUAAAAUCUAUUUUGUAUAAAAAUGACUGAAAUCUACGGCGCAGGCUGCAAUGCAGCGUGGCAGUACCACAAUGCAUUACUGAUGGAUCUCUGGCAUUAAAUAACUCCCACAUAUACGGGGAUCCUAGCCCUUUUUGGAUACUGUGGUGGUCUCCAUUGCAAACCCGUCAUAACAACGUAAUCAGUUUCUCUUCCUUGUCGUCCAAGUUGGCAAAUGCCUUGGUCGCAUUAUAGAUGUCCUGCUGAGCAUUACAGAGUUUAGUAAACUCACUCAUGUUCAUUAAUUUUGAUUAAUUUCUUUUGGAUUUGCCAAACUGCAAAAGUAAACAAACCCAGAUCAGCUGCUCGUGCCACUCACAUGUCGGAGUAGCAUUAGCUAAAUGCUAAUGCGCCAAUGGAAUCAGGCACAUUUAAAAAGUCCUCUAAUGCGGCAAUGGAAUCAGGCUAUUACAUACUUAUAUAUGAUCAUUCACCCCGAACGUUUUUAGAAAAAAUACCGGAAAUUGCCGAUUUUUAACGAUAUUUUGUUCAAGCCACCAUAUAGAGGUGGCAAAAAUGGCACAAUUUUUUAUUUCCUUCGAUAACAAAAUCUAUGUUGUAUAAAAAUGUCUGAAAACAAAAGCGCACGCAGCAAAUUCUGGUCGCAGUACCACAAUGCAUUACUGCUGGAUCUCUCGGCACAUUUAAAAAGUCCACUAAUGCGGCAAUGGAAUCAGGCUAUAAGAAAACAAAAAAACACAUAUGUACAUACUCUGCAACAGCGUCAC